UACGUAGGUGGCAAGCGUUGUCCGGAAUUAUUGGGCGUAAAGAGCUCGUAGGCGGUUUGUCGCGUCUGCUGUGAAAUCCCGAGGCUCAACCUCGGGUCUGCAGUGGGUACGGGCAGACUGGAGUGCGGUAGGGGAGAAUGGAAUUCCCGGUGUAGCGGUGAAAUGCGCAGAUAUCGGGAGGAACACCAGCGGCGAAGGCGACUCACUGGACACGUAUUGACGCUGAGGUGCGAAAGCGUGGGGAGCAAACAGG
rnacentral:rRNA from 1 species